UAUAUGGAGAGUUUGAUCCUGGCUCAGGACGAACGCUGGCGGCGUGCCUAAUACAUGCAAGUCGAGCGGACAGAUGGGAGCUUGCUCCCUGAAGUCAGCGGCGGACGGGUGAGUAACACGUGGGCAACCUGCCUGUAAGACUGGGAUAACUCCGGGAAACCGGGGCUAAUACCGGAUAAUUCUUUCCCUCACAUGAAGGAAAGCUGAAAGAUGGUUUCGGCUAUCACUUACAGAUGGGCCCGCGGCGCAUUAGCUAGUUGGUGAGGUAACGGCUCACCAAGGC
rnacentral:ncRNA from 1 species